rnacentral:rRNA from 1 species
UAGAUACCCCACUAUGCCCAGCCAUAAACCUUGAUACUCUUAUACAAUUAGUAUCCGCCAGGGAACUACGAGCACCAGCUUAAAACCCAAAGGACUUGGCGGUGCCUCAGACCCCCCUAGAGGAGCCUGUUCUAGAACCGAUAACCCCCGUUAAACCUCACCACUUCUUGCCUAUUCCGCCUAUAUACCACCGUCGCCAGCUUACCCUGUGAAGGGAAAAAAGUAAGCAAAAUGGAAACUUUCCAAAACGUCAGGUCGAGGUGUAGCACACGAAGUGGGAAGAAAUGGGCUACAUUACCUGACACAGGAUAUUCACGGAAAGUCACCUGAAACGGUAAUUCAAAGGUGGAUUUAGCAGUAAAAGA